rnacentral:rRNA from 1 species
CACGUGGGGUGCGAGCGUUGUCCGGAAUUAUUGGGCGUAAAGAGCUCGUAGGCGGUGUGUCGCGUCGGCCGUGAAAACCUGCAGCUUAACUGUGGGCGUGCGGUCGAUACGGGCAUCACUGGAGUUCGGCAGGGGAGACUGGAAUUCCUGGUGUAGCGGUGAAAUGCGCAGAUAUCAGGAGGAACACCGGUGGCGAAGGCGGGUCUCUGGGCCGAUACUGACGCUGAGGAGCGAAGGCCAGGGGAGCAAACGGG